GCGCGCUUAAUGCAUGCAAGUCGAGCGAUGAGACUCCUACGGGAGCACAUCAGCGGCAGACGGGUGAGUAACACGUAGAUGACGUACCCUCAAGACGGGGAUAACGGAUGGAAACGUGCGCUAAUACCGGAUGACCUUACGAUGUCAGAAUGGUAAGGAAAGCUACGGCGCUUGAGGAGCGGUCUGCGGCCCAUCAGCUAGUUGGUAGGGUAAAGGCCUACCAAUGCGAAGACGGGUAGGGGGUGUGAGAGCACGGNCCCCCACAAUGGGACUGAGACACGGCCCAUACUCCUACGGGAGGCAGCAGGAGGGAAUAUUGCACAAUGGACGGAAGUCUGAUGCAGCGACGCCGCGUGAGUGAAGAAGGCCUUCGGGUUGUAAAACUCUUUUGAGGGGGAAGAGCGAGGACGGUACCCCUGGAAUAAGCGUCGGCUAACUACGUGCCAGCAGCCGCGGUAAGACGUAGGACGCGAGCGUUAUCCGGAUUUACUGGGCGUAAAGCGUCUGUAGGCGGAUGUGUAAGUUGGGCGUGAAAGCUCCGGGCUUAACCCGGAGAGGCCGUUCAAUACUGCAUAACUUGAGGGUGUCAGAGGGGAGCGGAAUUCCCGGUGUAGCGGUAAAAUGCGCAGAGAUCGGGAGGAACACCAGUGGCGGAGGCGGUUCCCUGGGGCACACCUGACGCUGAGAGACGAAAGCUAGGGGAGCGAACAGGAUUAGAGAGCCUGGGUAGUCCUAGCCCCUAGACGAUGAAUGCUAGGUGUGGGAUCGAAUGGUUCCGUGCCGGAGCGAACGCGAUAAGCAUUCCGCCUGGGGAGUACGGCCGCAAGGUUAAAACUCUCACGAAUUGACGGGGCCCCGCACAAGCAGCGGAGCGUGUGGUUUAAUUCGAUGCUACACGAAGAACCUUACCUGGGUUUGACAUGUAGCUGGUAGUGAAUCGAAAGGUGAACGACCCUUCGGGGAGCCUACACAGGUGCUGCAUGGCUGUCGUCAGCUCGUGCCGUGAGGUGUCGGGUUAAGUCCCGUAACGAGCGCAACCCUUGCUCCUAGUUACAAGUGUCUAGGGGGACUGCCGGCGGAAAGCCGGCGGAAGGUGGGGAUGACGUCAAGUCCUCAUGGCCCUUAUGCCCAGGGCUACACACGUGCUACAAUGGGCGGUACAGAGGGUCGCGAACUCGCGAGAGCAAGCCAAUCCCAACAAGCCGUCCGUAGUUCGGAUUGGAGUCUGCAACUCGACUCCAUGAAGCUGGAAUCGCUAGUAAUCGCGG
rnacentral:rRNA from 1 species